AUGGGCGCCACCGGCCAGCGUCGGAUGUCAUCUCUGCCCGCGGCGGCGGCCGCGCCUCUCCUGCUUCUGCUCGCCGUGUCCUCCUGGAGCCAGGCGGCGGCGGCUCCGGCCUGGACGACGGACCUGGAGAAGCACGUGGCGUUCUUCGACACCGACAACGACGGCAUCGUCACCUUCUCCGAAACCGAGCAAGGGCUUCGUGCCAUCGGUCUCGGAGUUCUCGAGGCGACGGCCAGCGCGACCCUGAUCAACGGAGCCAUCGGACCCAAGACCAGACCUGAAAAUGCUACGACAUCGCGGUUUGACAUCUACAUAGCGAACAUCCAGAAGGGGAUCCACGGGAGCGACAGCGGUUCGUACGAUGCUCAAGGAAGGUUUGUUCCGGCCAAGUUCAACGAGAUAUUCACCAAGUACGCCAUGGUCAAGCCGAACGCCCUGAACGAGGACGAGCUGGAUGCGAUGCGCACUGCCAACAGGAAGGAGGGUGACUUCAAAGGAUGGGCGGCGUCGAAGGCGGAGUGGGGCAUGCUCUACAGCCUCGCCAAGGACAAGGACGGCUUCCUUCAGAAGGACACCGUGCGCACCGUCUAUGAUGGUAGCCUCUUCGCUAAGCUGGCGAAGAAGGCUGGAAAUUAA
rnacentral:rRNA from 1 species